rnacentral:rRNA from 1 species
CUGUACAGGAUAACCGCGGUAAUCUGUGGCUAAUACUAGAGUGGGUGAGACUCUGGCCUAUCAGCUUGGCGGUACGGUAAGUGCGUACCGUGGCGACGACGGGUAACGGGGAAUCGGGGUUUGAUUCCGGAGAGGGAGCCUGAGAGAUGGCUGCCACGUCCAAGGACGGCAGCAGGCGCGGAAAUUACCCACUUGGAGGACCAGAGGUAGUGACGAGGCGUUAUUAAUGAGAGCAGUGUAAAAAGCUGUUUGAAAGCAACUGGAGGGCAAGUCUGGUGCCAGCAGCCGCGGUAAUUCCAGCUCCAGGAGCGUCUGUGUGUGUUGCUGCGGUUAAAGAGUGCGUAGUCUGAUUAUUUGCCAGCAAUAAAGGUGCGGUCUUUAGCUGUGCAUUAUGCUGGUACUUUGAUCUAGGGACUGGAACAGGGCAAUGGUAUUCGACAGCGAGGGGUGAAAACUGAUGACCUGUCGAGGAGCGACUGAGGCGAAAGCGGUUGUCUGGGACGGGUUCGACGAUCAAGCGCGUGAGCAGGAGGAUCGAAGGCGAUUAGAGACCGUCGUAGUUCCUGCAGUAAACGAUGCCAACGGGAAUGCAAGGAAUGUGUUCCGAGGGAAACCGAGUGUAUGGGCUCCGGGGAUAGUACAGGCGCAAGCCAGAAACUUGAAGAAAUUGACGGAAGGACACCACAAGGAGUGGAGUGUGCGGGUUAAUUUGACUCAACGCGGGACAA